GGUUCAGUGGUGUAGUGGUUAUCACUCCUGUCUUACAUGGUGCACAGGCGGUCGUCGGUUCGAGCCCGGCCUGAAUCA